CGCGGCCUAUCAGCUUGUUGGUGGGGUAACGGCCUACCAAGGCAACGACGGGUAGCUGGUCUGAGAGGACGAUCAGCCACACUGGGACUGAGACACGGCCCAGACUCCUACGGGAGGCAGCAGUAGGGAAUCUUGCGCAAUGGGGGAAACCCUGACGCAGCGACGCCGCGUGCGGGAUGAAGGCCUUCGGGUCGUAAACCGCUUUCAGCAGGGACGAAAUUGACGGUACCUGCAGAAGAAGGCCCGGCCAACUACGUGCCAGCAGCCGCGGUGAUACGUAGGGGUCUAGCGUUGUCCGGAAUCAUUGGGCGUAAAGAGCUCGUAGGCGGUUCGAUUAGUCGGGUGUGAAAUCUCCACGCUCAACGUGGAGGGGCCACUCGAUACUGUCGUGACUCGAGUCCGGUAGGGGAGUUCGGAAUUCCCGGUGUAGCGGUGAAAUGCGCAGAUAUCGGGAGGAACACCAGUGGCGAAGGCGGAACUCUGGGCCGGAACUGACGCUGAGGAGCGAAAGCGUGGGGAGCGAACAGGAUUAGAUACCCUGGUAGUCCACGCCGUAAACGUUGGGCACUAGGUGUGGGACUCUAUCGACGGGUUCCGUGCCGUAGCUAACGCAUUAAGUGCCCCGCCUGGGGAGUAC
rnacentral:rRNA from 1 species